CUGUUUACCCAUUGGUCAAAAGUUUCUCAUCUGAAUCUCUCAAAAUGAUAAUGGCGAUCAAGAAUUCUAACUUGUAUUUUUGAAUUCAUGAUUUGAAAAUAAAAUAAAAAAUAAUAAAUAAAAAAUUGUGAUCGCCUUGUUACGAUCACUGGUUACCCAUUGGUCAAAAGUUUCUCAUCUGAAUCUCUCAAAAUGAUAAAGGCGAUCAAGAAUUCUAACUUGUAUUUUUGAAUUCAUGAUUUGAAAAUAAAAUAAAAAAUA